UAAUACAGAUUUAUAUAUAUAUAUAUAUAUAAUAACACCAAAACAAAGUUAAAACAACCAAAGAACGAAACAUCUACCAAAAAGUCAAAAAGUAAAUGAAAAAACUCUCGGUCUUUCUAUUUGUUUUUAGCCUUUGCAUGCUUCGUCAUGUGUAUGGCGCCGGGAUCAGGAUCUCGAACGAACUCAAAUUCAAAAAAAAUCUUUGGAUGAGAUGUUAUUCCAAAGAUGAUGUAUUAGGUCCAAAUAUAAUACCAAACCGACAAUAUUAUGAAAAUAUUUUCCAUAUUAACUUUUGGCAUUCAACACGUUUUAUGUGUACUUUGAGACAAGGUCCUAACUAUAUACACUAUCAGAACUUUACAGUAUUCAAGCUUUUUAGUUUGAGGGAUCAAGGAGGCCUAUGGGAUUGGAGAGCAAGAGAAGAUGGGAUCUAUUUAAAGAAAGAAGCUGGCGAGGCAUUAUUAAACCCAGUUUAUAUGCAUAAAGUGCAUGAUUGGAUAUAUUAAAAAUAUUAACAAGCUAUAUA
rnacentral:sRNA from 1 species